rnacentral:misc_RNA from 1 species
UUUCCGUAGGUGAACCUGCGGAAGGAUCAUUAAAGUUAUAGUCCCCCGGCCCUCUGGGCUGGGGUCUUCUAUACCACCCUUUGUUUAUUACACCUUUGUUGCUUUGGCAGGCCUGCCCUCGGGCUGCUGGCUCCGGCCGGCUCGCGUCUGCCAGAGGACCUAAACUCUGUUUGUAUAUGAAGUCUGAGUACUAUAUAAUAGUUAUAACUUUCAACAACGGAUCUCUUGGUUCUG